AAAUAGUGUUGGAUUUAAUUUGGGUUUCAAUUACUAUAUUAUUCCCAAUUUUAUGUGAAAUUACCAAUAUGCCCCUAACCCUAAUUAUUUUGAAAAAGAAAUGAAACCCUAAAACCCUACCCGGUAACCCGUUGCUCCCCCAUGCCCCAGCAGCCAUAACACACACGGUUUUCUUCCUCUCUUUCCAAGAAAAGGGAAGGAGCAGAGGCAGAAAAAUGAAAUUUAGGGAGAAGGAAGGAGGGUUUGCCGGCGUGGAGGGGGAAGGGGGCUCACCGCACCGCUAGUCGUCCUCACCACAAGCUGCGUUCCACAGCCGCCCGUCGCAUCCUCCCUGUGCCGUCCUUCACGCCAUCGCCGCCGUUGCUAGCCGAAGGGAGAAGAAGGAUCUGUCCGCGCCGUCACCAUGCGGUAGCUGAGCUAUGCCAUCGCCGCCAUCUUGCCUCUGCCGGCGAGCACGAAGAGAGAGGGAAAUGGGAGUUUGCACAGCAGAGAGGGAGAGCGCGACAGGGGAGACCAUCGCCGCCUGGAUCGCCGUCGUCGGGCCUCCUUGCCGUCGCCAGUCCUGCUUGUUUUGUCGCCGGGAAACUCGUCGCCGUUGGGGUUGCACCGCCGCUGUUCCUGCUGUGGCUGGUGUCGCACCAGAGAACCAUCAUCGCAGGUUGAGGCUAACCCUUUUUGCUGUCGUUCAUCGUUGCUGCAGCUGACUUGCGGCUGUUGGAUCUGAUCGGAGAGGUGGGUGGUGAUGGCGGUGGAUGUUGGUGCUGGUUAGCGCGUCACUGCUGCUGGCUGUUUUGAGCUGCUCUGCCGUCUCUGCCACCGGAUAAUGUAGCUUAGUCGCCGGAAAAGUUUGCCGUUGUCGUGAUCGGAAUUUGUCGCCGCUGCCGCUUGAGGUGGCUGCCGCUGAACCGGUUCAGAGACCGCCGCUAUUUCGGAUCAGCCGCUCUUUCUUCGGUUCGAGUUGUUGAGACUGUUGCGAAAGUGGCUUGGAGCUGAGGUUUUGGUUGCCGGUGAUUUCGAGUCGAGGCGGAAAGGAUUCUGUGACGCGUUUGGGCUAUGGUUUUGUGUUUUGAGGAUAUGGGCGCAGAAGUUACGAAGAAUUUAUUUAGUUAUUGUUGUGAUGUUCUGUAUUGUUUUGGAUUAUUAGUUAUUGUACCCUCGCCUUUAUCUUGAUAUAUUCUGUAAGAGGGAUAGGAAUUGUAUUGGUUACUGUUUGUAAUAUCAUUUAUAUAUAUGUAUGUAUAUAUAUGGAUGUGCUCUUUAUGAGUUUCUGUAAGUUGUAUGGUAUGUAUGGAUAUUCGUUGUAUAGCAAAAGUAGUUUUGGGAGCGGUAUUGCGGUUUAAAGUUUUAAACAGGCUCAUAUUUUAGUAUCAAAUAGCAUAAGUGUCAUCGUAAUGUCCGAGCUAUCAGAGUUGCGCAGCCGGAAGCGUGAGCUUUGGUAGUUAGGGUGUUACAUUAUGGUAUCAGAGCAGUUCUUCCUGUAGAGCCUGAGGAAUGGACUGACUAUGCUUCGAUUGCAUGCUCUGGGCGUUUGUCAUGUAUUAGGUCUUGUCGAAUGAUGAGAAUUAGAGCUUUAUGCACAUGACGAUCUAUUGAUUUAAUGCUGUUAGUCUCGCAUUGCAUAAUUCUUGGUAUUAAGUUUGGCCGGCUUAAUACUAGUGAAUUAUGUAUAUGAGAGCACUAAUGGGUUAUCAUAGAUGGUAUACGAGUUUUGAGUUAAGCGAAUCGCGGGUUCUGGGAACGUUGAAACUAUUUCUCGAGGCUAUUCAGUUGUGUGUUUUGGAAUUUGUUCGAGUCGACCUGUUCUUUCAUGUCCUAACUUGAAAUUCUUGUUUGCUACUCCUCUUGAAAAGUAGUUUGAUGUUUCUACUCUAUUCCUUUAUUCAUAUGCAUUCUUGUUUGAUCCUAAGUGCAUAUGCUUGUUUGAGAUCCUUGUUGUAUCUAUCUUUCUCUGUUUGAGUUCUUUUGAUUCACGUAUCCUUUGAUAUAGCUUUGAACUUGUCUUAAUGCACUGUGCCUUUUUAAGUCCGGAUUUCGAGUCCAUUCUUAUAGAA